rnacentral:tRNA from 1 species
GGGGAUUUAGCUCAGUGGCAUAAGCACCUGCCUUGCAAGCAGGUGGUGGUGAUGGUGGUGAGUUCGAUCCCCG